rnacentral:rRNA from 1 species
UGGGCAACCUGCCCUCAGCUCUGGGAUAACUCCAAGAAAUUGGGGCUAAUACCGGAUAAGCCCUUCGGGGGAAAGAUUUAUCGCCAUUGGAUGGGCCCGCGUCGGAUUAGCUAGUUGGUGAGGUAACGGCUCACCAAGGCUACGAUCAGUAGCUGGUCUGAGAGGGUGACCGGCCACACUGGGACUGAGACACGGCCCAGACUCCUACAGGAG